AGAUUUUGCCAUAGAGAAAUCUCUUGCUUUUCAAUCUCUCCAAUUUGGGAACCAACCAACCAACCAGUCUACCAACCAGCCAACGAACCAACUACUCAACCGGUCAACUGACUCCUCCCGGAGACAAAGAUUGGAGAAUUGCUUGAAUCUGGUACAAAGACUAAAGCAAAGUAAUACUGUAUCAUGCACAGACCUCAACUCUGUGAAGACAGUCCCUCAUGCUGUAGGAAGUCAGCCUUGAAUAUCUAGGCUUAGGGGAGGCUGAGAAAGGUCACCACUGGAGAAGUAAGCGGUUGGGGCAGGUCAGGAUCCAGGGCUCUCAAUUCUUAUGGAGAGAUUUUGCUUUUUUAAAACAUCAGACCUGCUGGUGUUUGCACUCAGUUUUCUUUCUUAUAAAAAUCAACUCUAUUGAGAUGUACUGCCCAAUCAAGAUAUAGAACAUUUGCAUCACCCUAGAAAACUUCCUUGUGCCCCAAAUCACAUCACUGAUGUGAUUUCUAUCACUAUAGCUGAGUUUUGUCUAUCCUAGAACUUUGUGUAAAUUGUCCUUUUCUUUUGACUUUAUGUAGUUUUUUUCUCAUGUGGAAGAAAAAGAAUUAUUGUAGGUUUAUGGUUUUUAAAAAAUAUUCAAAUCGGAUUCAUCUGACAUUUAUUUUGGUGUAGUGUGUGAAAGGCACAGAUCUAAUCUCAUUUAUUUUCUCCCAGAGAGCUACCUGGUUGUUUCAACAUCAUUUAUUGACAAAUGUAUCUUUUUUCUCACUGGUUUAAAUGCCACCUUUAUCAUACAUUAAAUUCCCAAGUGUGCUCAGGUA
ensembl:lncRNA novel transcript